rnacentral:pre_miRNA from 1 species
GAAAAGACAAACCUUGAAUUUCUACGUUCAACGUUUGAUUUUUCAUCUUAUAUAAAAUUUUUUUAUAAUUAAUAUUUUUAUUAUUGUUAGAUGAUAAAACAUGAUUAAUAUUUUAUGCGUGACUUGUCUUUUUAAAUUUUUUAUAUUUUUUCAAAUAAUACGGACGGUCAAACAUUAGAUAUGGAAUUU